rnacentral:rRNA from 1 species
CCUAGGGGGGCAGCAGUAGGGAAUUUUCGUCAAUGGGCGCAAGCCUGAACGGGCAAUGCCGCGUGAACGAGGAAGGUCUUCGGAUCGUAAAGUUCUGUUGAAGGGGAAAAAGAGCGGAGAGAGGAAAUGAACUCCGAUUGAUAUUACCCUUCGAGGAAGUCACGGCUAACUACGUGCCAGCAGCCGCGGUAAUACGUAGGUGGCGAGCGUUAUCCGGAAUGAUUGGGCGUAAAGGGUGCGUAGGCGGCCUGCUAAGUCUGGAGUGAAAUCUGGGGGCUUAACCCCCAAACUGCUUUUGAAACUGG